rnacentral:rRNA from 1 species
AAAUUGAAGAGUUUGAUCAUGGCUCAGAUUGAACGCUGGCGGCAGGCCUAACACAUGCAAGUCGAGCGGUAGCACAGAGAGCUUGCUCUCGGGUGACGAGCGGCGGACGGGUGAGUAAUGUCUGGGAAACUGCCUGAUGGAGGGGGAUAACUACUGGAAACGGUAGCUAAUACCGCAUAACGUCGCAAGACCAAAGUGGGGGACCUUCGGGCCUCAUGCCAUCAGAUGUGCCCAGAUGGGAUUAGCUAGUAGGUGGGGUAAUGGCUCACCUAGGCGACGAUCCCUAGCUGGUCUGAGAGGAUGACCAGCCACACUGGAACUGAGACACGGUCCAGACUCCUACGGGAGGCAGCAGUGGGGAAUAUUGCACAAUGGGCGCAAGCCUGAUGCAGCCAUGCCGCGUGUGUGAAGAAGGCCUUCGGGUUGUAAAGCACUUUCAGCGGGGAGGAAGGCGAUAAGGUUAAUAACCUUGGCGAUUGACGUUACCCGCAGAAGAAGCACCGGCUAACUCCGUGCCAGCAGCCGCGGUAAUACGGAGGGUGCAAGCGUUAAUCGGAAUUACUGGGCGUAAAGCGCACGCAGGCGGUCUGUCAAGUCGGAUGUGAAAUCCCCGGGCUCAACCUGGGAACUGCAUUCGAAACUGGCAGGCUAGAGUCUUGUAGAGGGGGGUAGAAUUCCAGGUGUAGCGGUGAAAUGCGUAGAGAUCUGGAGGAAUACCGGUGGCGAAGGCGGCCCCCUGGACAAAGACUGACGCUCAGGUGCGAAAGCGUGGGGAGCAAACAGGAUUAGAUACCCUGGUAGUCCACGCCGUAAACGAUGUCGAUUUGGAGGUUGUGCCCUUGAGGCGUGGCUUCCGGAGCUAACGCGUUAAAUCGACCGCCUGGGGAGUACGGCCGCAAGGUUAAAACUCAAAUGAAUUGACGGGGGCCCGCACAAGCGGUGGAGCAUGUGGUUUAAUUCGAUGCAACGCGAAGAACCUUACCUGGUCUUGACAUCCACAGAACUUUCCAGAGAUGGAUUGGUGCCUUCGGGAACUGUGAGACAGGUGCUGCAUGGCUGUCGUCAGCUCGUGUUGUGAAAUGUUGGGUUAAGUCCCGCAACGAGCGCAACCCUUAUCCUUUGUUGCCAGCGGUUAGGCCGGGAACUCAAAGGAGACUGCCAGUGAUAAACUGGAGGAAGGUGGGGAUGACGUCAAGUCAUCAUGGCCCUUACGACCAGGGCUACACACGUGCUACAAUGGCAUAUACAAAGAGAAGCGACCUCGCGAGAGCAAGCGGACCUCAUAAAGUAUGUCGUAGUCCGGAUUGGAGUCUGCAACUCGACUCCAUGAAGUCGGAAUCGCUAGUAAUCGUAGAUCAGAAUGCUACGGUGAAUACGUUCCCGGGCCUUGUACACACCGCCCGUCACACCAUGGGAGUGGGUUGCAAAAGAAGUAGGUAGCUUAACCUUCGGGAGGGCGCUUACCACUUUGUGAUUCAUGACUGGGGUGAAGUCGUAACAAGGUAACCGUAGGGGAACCUGCGGUUGGAUCACCUCCUUACCUUAAAGAA